rnacentral:lncRNA from 1 species
AGAGACUGGUGGCGCUCGGAGCUACCUCCCCGCGGAGGGUGGAGUUGGAGUUGGGGUUUUGGAUUCGUAGCAACGGUUCUGCUGUGCGGCCUCCUUGUCGCGAGCCGUAACUCCGGCGUGGGUCAAGAACGGAAACGAAAAGGGCCGAGCCUCUACUGCUGCUGGGAGGGCAGACGAGGCGGUGGCCAAUUAAUACGGAAGCAGGAUCGUGGAUCCGGUGAGCCCCGGAGCCGGAGAAAAGUGGUUAAACGGGUACACGUUUCUUGACAGAAAUGUGACAAGUACAUCCUCAUGUUUAUGCGGUUNN